GAUGAACGCUAGCGGCAGGCCUAACACAUGCAAGUCGAGGGGUAGCAGGAUUAAGCUUGCUUAAUUGCUGACGACCGGCGCACGGGUGCGUAACGCGUAUGCAACCUACCUUAUACUGGGGUAUAGCCCGGAGAAAUUCGGAUUAAUCCCCCAUAGUACUAAUGAAUCGCAUGGUUUAUUAGUUAAAGCAUUGCGGUAUAAGAUAGGCAUGCGUCCUAUUAGCUAGAUGGUGAGGUAACGGCUCACCAUGGCUACGAUAGGUAGGGGGCCUGAGAGGGUGGUCCCCCACACUGGUACUGAGACACGGACCAGACUCCUACGGGAGGCAGCAGUGAGGAAUAUUGGUCAAUGGGCGCAAGCCUGAACCAGCUAUGCCGCGUGCAGGAAGAAUGCCCUAUGGGUUGUAAACUGCUUUUAUUUGGGAAUAAACCUCUUUACGUGUAGAGAGCUGAAGGUACCAAAUGAAUAAGCACCGGCUAACUCCGUGCCAGCAGCCGCCGUAA
rnacentral:rRNA from 1 species